CAAAAUUGUGAACAGAGUACCAAAAGUUGAAGUUAAAGAUGAAACUUUGGGGGGUAUUGAAGCGCAAAUAACCAUUUAUUACUUAGUAAAUAAAGUUUAUACGCUUUUCUUAGUUUUCUCUGAAAAAAUCUUGCUGAUAUAAAAAGCUUUGUCGACAAGUUGAACGGCUUGGUUCACGAUAGGUAAAAAUGUGGCGAGGUAACAGUGAACAGAUCUCUCCUCCCUUCGUUCGGUUAAACCCUAGCUAAACCCUUCAAAUCAGAGGGAUUCAAGGAGAUAAGAAUGAUGACGACGAUGAUGAUUAUGGUGGCGAAGAACCGGAUCCGAGGGCUACCGCUGAAAACGGUGGUGACCAGAGCGUUUUCAACUGCGCCUCCGAGCGGUGAGAAUAAGAGACUUUACCGGCGGUUAUCGGCUCUGGGAACGAACCCAGGCGUGACCCGGACACUGGACGAGUGGGUGAAAGAAGGGAAGGCGGUGACGGAAUCCAAGCUGGUGAACAUUGUUAAGGAGCUCCGCAGGUACAAGAACUACAAGCCUGCUCUAAAGGUGAUAGAUUGGAUGGAGAAAAGAGGUUUCGGCAUCAACGAAAGCAUCCAUGCAAUGCGCCUAGAUCUUAUAGCCAAAUCCAAAACCCCAGAAAUCGCCGAGAAAUACUUCUCCAAACUCCCUGAACUAGCAAAGAAUCAGUUUACAUAUGGAGCUCUUUUAAACAUCUAUUGCCAAGAGAAAGCAGCAGAUAAAGCCCUUUCCCUUUACGAGAAGAUGAAAGAACUCAACCUAGCUUCAAAUACUCUAGUAACUAACAACAUCAUGACCCUUCACUUGAAAUUAGGCCAACACGAGAAAAUCCCAACUCUAUUUCAAGAAAUGGAAUCUUUGAAAAUUUCUCCGGAUAGAAUCACUUAUGGAAUUUUGAUGAGCAGCUAUGCAUCUAGAAACGAUAUCGAAUCAGUUGAGAAAGUCGUGGAUGAAAUGAAAAGAGGAGGAAGGGUUGGUUUUGAUUGGAGCUUGUGGUGUAAUCUCGCUGGUUAUUAUAACUCGUCAGGAUUUUUCGAGAAAGCUGAAUCUGUUCUUAAGAAUGCUGAGAAAAUGAUGCCUUCAGGAGAUAGAGAAGCUUACCAUUUUCUCAUUACUUUGUAUGCUGGUGCUGGUAAUUUGUCAGAAGUUAAAAGGGUGUGGAGAUUGCUCAAGGAUUCAUUUAGGAAGAUGACUAAUAUGAGCUAUUAUCAUAUGUUUCACGCUCUUAAGAAACUAGGAGAUGUUGAUGAGUUAAAGAAAAUCUUUGAAGAGUGGGAAUUGCAUUUUGAUCAUUUUGAUGUAAAAUUGGUGAAUGUAGUGUUGGAUGCUUAUCUAGAAAAGGGUAUGAUUAAAGAAGCCGAAAUUAUAUGGGAGAAUGCUAUAUCCAAGGGUUGUGGAUCUGAUUUUAGGACAUUUGAGCUUUUUGCUAAGUAUUACUUGGAACAAGGUGAAAGGGAUUUGGCUACAAAGUUGUUGGAGAGGUAUGCUUGCAUAUUGAAACAAGAAAAAGGUAGGAUCAAUGAAGGAAAAGCAAAGAAGUUUAUUGAACAUCUUGUGGGAGUGAAGGAUGUUGAUGGGGUUGAGGCCUUUUGCAAGAGUUUUAAGGAUCUAGUGUGUUUAUAUCCAAAGAAGAAAUGUUAGCAUUAUUCCUUGUUAACCUGGGUCUGAUGAUUUAAGAUUUGGGAUAAUGGUACUUGAUAUGGUGAGUAUGCAUGGCUGCGUGUAGACUGCAGAAGUGUUGAUAAUUUAUGCGGCAAUGGAGGUUACUGGUAGUAAAAACAAUCCAAAGUUGACUCUCGAAAUAUUUUCUGCAAGGGAUUUACACUAAGAGUAACAUAUCAGUGACUUGUUGAUACUGUGUUGAACAUCAAACUUUAGCCUGCUUGUCUGGGGAUGAACCAUUUUUGAUCGUGGGUGCAUUAUUUUGAUUCUGGGUAAAUCAACAGUUUUUAUAUCUUCAUCAUUUGGAUUGAGCUAUAUGUUCGGUGCAAUAAGGCAUUAUGCGCAUAUGACUAAUAUUUUAUGAGGUUAAUCGUACAGACUCUGUAGCGUCGUACUUUAAAACUUGUGACACUUCUAGUUUGAUUUUUGAAACUUAUUACACUUACAGUUUGAUUUCGGCAGAUAGACCCCUCAGUGAACUUUAGUGACUUCGGUCGAGGGUAAAAGAGUCGAGAAUAUUUAAAAGGGAGU